rnacentral:tRNA from 1 species
UGCAUCGGCCGGGAAUCGAACCCUGGCCGCCCGCGUGGCAGGCAAGCAUUCUACCACUGAACCACUGAUGC